CCUUAUUCCAUUUCAUACUUCAUAUUUACAUAUUAACAUCAUAGACUACAAAAUUCAGUAUUCAUCAUUUAAAGUUUAAUUUUAAAAGAAUGAAAAUGCCUCCUGCUCAUUUGUGGACUUUUCAGGAAGUAUCUCAAACAUAUCUGAGAAGUAUCUAGGUUUUUUUGGAAUUUUGAAAAUGGGAUUCUUUGCAAAAGUAUUAGGCACAUAUUCGAGAAGUGUCUGACAAGUAUCAGUAUCCCAAUAUGUAUCCAGUGUGGACAAGGCAAGUGAUUUGAUAUCCGUGCUUUAUAGAUGAUGGAUUAUAAGCAAUCUUGGAUAUUGGUAAAGCAUCAGAAAAUGUUAUGAUUUGGAUGUUGUGAAGAUCUUGCUUGAAUUAUUAAAUUUGAGAGGGCAUCCAUGGUUCGUUUUUCAUUUCAGUGAAGAUAGGUGGCGAUUCCAUUGCAUAUGUUAUUCUAUGAAUUGAAGGAAGUGGCUUGCUUUGAAAAUUAUGGUGCAUGGAAAAUAGAAUAUGGAAAGAGGUGUUAGGGGGUUCUAGUGGUGGUUUUCUAUCGAGGAAUUCAACAUAGAA
rnacentral:lncRNA from 1 species